UGCAGUCGAACGGAAAGGCCCUUCGGGGUACUCGAGUGGCGAACGGGUGAGUAACACGUGGGUGAUCUGCCCCGCACUCUGGGAUAAGCCUGGGAAACUGGGUCUAAUACCGGAUAGGACCACACACUUCAUGGUGAGUGGUGCAAAGCUUUUGCGGUGUGGGAUGAGCCCGCGGCCUAUCAGCUUGUUGGUGAGGUAAUGGCCCACCAAGGCGACGACGGGUAGCCGGCCUGAGAGGGUGACCGGCCACACUGGGACUGAGAUACGGCCCAGACUCCUACGGGAGGCAGCAGUGGGGAAUAUUGCACAAUGGGCGCAAGCCUGAUGCAGCGACGCCGCGUGAGGGAUGACGGCCUUCGGGUUGUAAACCUCUUUCAGUAGGGACGAAGCGAAAGUGACGGUACCUACAGAAGAAGGACCGGCCAACUACGUGCCAGCAGCCGCGGUAAUACGUAGGGUCCGAGCGUUGUCCGGAAUUACUGGGCGUAAAGAGCUCGUAGGUGGUUUGUCACGUUGUUCGUGAAAACCCACAGCUUAACUGUGGGCGUGCGGGCGAUACGGGCAGACUAGAGUACUGCAGGGGAGACUGGAAUUCCUGGUGUAGCGGUGGAAUGCGCAGAUAUCAGGAGGAACACCGGUGGCGAAGGCGGGUCUCUGGGCAGUAACUGACGCUGAGGAGCGAAAGCGUGGGUAGCGAACAGGAUUAGAUACCCUGGUAGUCCACGCCGUAAACGGUGGGUACUAGGUGUGGGUUUCCUUCCUUGGGAUCCGUGCCGUAGCUAACGCAUUAAGUACCCCGCCUGGGGAGUACGGUCGCAAGACUAAAACUCAAAGGAAUUGACGGGGGCCCGCACAAGCGGCGGAGCAUGUGGAUUAAUUCGAUGCAACGCGAAGAACCUUACCUGGGUUUGACAUGCGCAGGACGUAUCUAGAGAUAGGUAUUCCCUUGUGGCCUGCGUGCAGGUGGUGCAUGGCUGUCGUC
rnacentral:rRNA from 1 species